AGUCCCGACAGAGGGGCUUUUAAGAUUGGAAUUGAGUUGAACUAACGGUCGGGGGGCAGAAGGCUGAGGGGAUUCCCGGUAGAAUGACAAGGCAGGAAGGUCAGAGGACGACCGGGUUGGGAAGGAAAGCUCAAUCCACAGAGAAGUGUUGGAGACUCUUGCUGGGACGUGUAUGGAAACAACAUGGCCAUGAGCUCCAGGUUCAGCUGAAGAAAAUCAGCCCCAACGCAUGAUGCUGCUGCCACCAUGCUUCACUGUGGGUGGGCGAAAUGAGGAGAGAGGCAACGAAUGCACGAGGCUUCAUUUUAUAGAAACAUGCUGCAAUUUUAAUGGACACUAACGUCCUUGGCAACCCCCCACGUAAGGAAAUGAGGCGAUAGAGGAAGUGGACCCUUUUGCUCCUUUUGAAUCUAUCAAUUCUGCACUGCUUUUCCAACCCGUCCACUCUCUUCCUCACUGCUCAACCGGCCAUCUUCUUCCAGCUAAGGUCUACUCACGCAUGUUAUCACUAAGCUGGCGGUAUUAGGCUCUACAGAAGGAUUAUUUUGCCCAAAAAUGCUCCCCUGGUGCUGUCUUACGCCCCGCAACUGCAUUUUUACAGCUAUUCCUCCACAAGCCUCCUCCUCUCUCACGCCGUAAUAUCAUCCAUUCCCUGCAUCCAUUUAUGAGUGGCGUAAUUUCUUUGCUGUCUGCUUUCUCUUCGAGCAGUGCAAGGCUUCAAACAGGUGUGACGGGUUUCGAUUUCUCACACAAUCAAGUCACCGCUUCCCCUCCAGCAGGGCUUGAAUAGUGCAGCAAACUCCAUAAAUUGGCAUCGAGGCCACGCCGGCUACGCUCCAGGUUUGCCGGAUGACAACCUCACACUUCCAGGCAACAGCUUUUGCCCCACAGACUCGCAUCCAGGACUGUUUAAAAGGCUAUAAAAGAUGGAGUGAGUUUCAUAAACCAUCAUGCACAAAUAAACACUCACUCCUUGGUCUGAACGAUAACAGGAUUCCCAGAAUGACCGUUUAUUUAAAUAUCAACCCCCCCUUCCUAAAACAACCCAUCUGCCAGAUUAAAAAAAAAAAAUCAUAAUGGACUUUUUUUUUUUCAUGACUGCAUUUAUAUGAAGAAAAUUGCAUAAUCACAGUCUAAAUGGUCUGCAAUCAACC